GACGAAGGGGGCUAGCGUUGUUCGGAAUUACUGGGCGUAAAGCGCGUGUAGGCGGUUGUCCAAGUCGGGUGUGAAAGCCUUGAGCUCAACUCAAGAAAUGCACUCGAUACUGGGCGACUCGAGUGCCGGAGAGGAUAGUGGAAUUCCCAGUGUAGUGGUGAAAUACGUAGAGAUUGGGAAGAACACCAGUGGCGAAGGCGGCUAUCUGGACGGAUACUGACGCUAAGACGCGAAAGCGUGGGGAGCAAACAGG
rnacentral:rRNA from 1 species